CUGGCGGCGUGCCUAAUCAUGCACCGAGCGAAUGGAUUAAGAGCUUGCUCUUUGAAGUUAGCGGCGGACGGGUGAGUAACACGUGGGUAACCUGCCCAUAAGACUGGGAUAACUCCGGGAAACCGGGGCUAAUACCGGAUAACAUUUUGAACCGCAUGGUUCGAAAUUGAAAGGCGGCUUCGGCUGUCACUUAUGGAUGGACCCGCGUCGCAUUAGCUAGUUGGUGAGGUAACGGCUCACCAAGGCAACGAUGCGUAGCCGACCUGAGAGGGUGAUCGGCCACACUGGGACUGAGACACGGCCCAGACUCCUACGGGAGGCAGCAGUAGGGAAUCUUCCGCAAUGGACGAAAGUCUGACGGAGCAACGCCGCGUGAGUGAUGAAGGCUUUCGGGUCGUAAAACUCUGUUGUUAGGGAAAAACAAGUGCUAGUUGAAUAAGCUGGCCCCUUGACGGUACCUAACCAGAAAGCCCGGUAAUACUGCCACGCCGCGGUAAUCGU
rnacentral:rRNA from 1 species